rnacentral:pre_miRNA from 1 species
AUACUACUCCCUCCGUUCGGAAUUACUUGUCGCAGAAAUGGAUGUAUCUAGUUGUAUUUUAGUUCUAGGUACAUCCAUUUCCGAGACAAGUAAUUUCGAACGGAGGGAGUAUAUU